rnacentral:rRNA from 1 species
GUGGGGGGAUUAGUGGCGAACGGGUGAGUAACACGUGAGUAACCUGCCCUUAACUCUGGGAUAAGCCUGGGAAACUGGGUCUAAUACCGGAUAUGACUCCUCAUCGCAUGGUGGGGGGUGGAAAGCUUUAUUGUGGUUUUGGAUGGACUCGCGGCCUAUCAGCUUGUUGGUGAGGUAAUGGCUCACCAAGGCGACGACGGGUAGCCGGCCUGAGAGGGUGACCGGCCACACUGGGACUGAGACACGGCCCAGACUCCUACGGGAGGCAGCAGUGGGGAAUAUUGCACAAUGGGCGCAAGCCUGAUGCAGCGACGCCNCGUGAGGGAUGACGGCCUUCGGGUUGUAAACCUCUUUCAGUAGGGAAGAAGCGAAAGUGACGUACCUGCAGAAGAAGCGCCGGCUAACUACGUGCCAGCAGCCGCGGUAAUACGUAGGGCCAAGGUUAUCCGGAAUUAUUGGGCGUAAAGAGCUCGUAGGCGGUUUGUCGCGUCUGCCGUGAAAGUCCGGGGCUCAACUCCGGAUCUGCGGUGGGUACGGGCAGACUAGAGUGAUGUAGGGGAGACUGGAAUUCCUGGUGUAGCGGUGAAAUGCGCAGAUAUCAGGAGGAACACCGAUGGCGAAGGCAGGUCUCUGGGCAUUAACUGACGCUGAGG